GGAUCUUUAGCUCAGUGGUAGAGCGCUGCUCCGACACGGCGGAGGCCCUGGUUCAAUCCCAGGAAGAUCCA
rnacentral:tRNA from 1 species